rnacentral:rRNA from 1 species
UACGUAGGGUGCAAGCGUUAAUCGGAAUUACUGGGCGUAAAGCGUGCGCAGGCGGUUAUAUAAGACAGAUGUGAAAUCCCCGGGCUCAACCUGGGAACUGCAUUUGUGACUGCAUCGCUGGAGUGCGGCAGAGGGGGAUGGAAUUCCGCGUGUAGCAGUGAAAUGCGUAGAUAUGCGGAGGAACACCGAUGGCGAAGGCAAUCCCCUGGGCCUGCACUGACGCUCAUGCACGAAAGCGUGGGGAGCAAACAGG